rnacentral:tRNA from 1 species
GAGAUGCUAGUUAAACUAUAACAAUGCCUUGUCAAGGCAUAAUUACAGGUUAAACCCCCUGUGCACCUCC